UACGUAUGGUGCAAGCGUUAUUCGGAUUUAUUGGGCGUAAAGGGUCCGCAGGUGGUUUGUUAAGUCUGAUGUGAAAUCCCAUGGCUCAACCAUGGAACUGCAUUGGAAACUGGCAAACUAGAGUAUCGGAGAGGUGAGUGGAAUUCCAGGUGUAGCGGUGGAAUGCGUAGAUAUCUGGAGGAACACCAAGAGCGAAGGCAGCUCACUGGACGAUUACUGACACUCAGGGACGAAGGCGUGGGGAGCGAAAAGG
rnacentral:rRNA from 1 species